rnacentral:lncRNA from 1 species
CACAGUCUCACUUUACGUGCUCGGCAGCGUGAGAAGAGCAGUAAUACUUCUUGUGUGCGAUGAAGGUGGACAGACUGCUGAACCUGAUGUUGCACAGGCGGCAGUAGCGGUGGCCGCCACCACCACCCGGUGCAGGAGCGGGCGCAGGCGGGCCCUUGCAGGAUGUCCGAGCGCCUUGAUCGGCCUGGUCAGAAGGCGUGUUCUCGGGAGCAGGGGAAGGAGAGCGCGGUGCGCGGCCGUCUGGGCUGUCGCGCGGAGCACGCUCCGCAGCUGUGCGGGGCUCAGCGCCUGGGCUGGCCGCGGGCUUGGCCACCUGCAGGCCGUGUGCCUGGCGCAAAUGCUCGACCAGCUUACGCGACACGCGGUACACUCGUGGUAGUCGGCCAGCGCGGGCAGAGCAGUAGGUGUAUCCGGGGUCUGGCGACGCGGCCGC